rnacentral:rRNA from 1 species
CCUACGGGCGGCAGCAGUGAGGAAUAUUGGUCAAUGGCCGUAAGGCUGAACCAGCCAAGUAGCGUGAGGGAAGACUGCCCUAUGGGUUGUAAACCUCUGUUAUGCGGGGAGAAAGGUGUCCACGUGUGGAUGUUUGCAGGUACCGCAUGCAUAAGGACCGGCUAAUUCCGUGCCAGCAGCCGCGGUAAUACGGAAGGUCCGGGCGUUAUCCGGAUUUAUUGGGUUUAAGGGGUUCGCAGGCGGAGGCACCAGUCAGCGGUAAAAUCCCGGGGCUCAACCCCGCUCCGCCGUUGAAACUGUGUCCCUUGAGUGCGCGAAGGGUAGGCGGAAUGCGUGGUGUAGCGGUGAAAUGCAUAGAUAUUAGGAGGAACACCAGUGGCGAAGGCGGCUUACUGGACUGUAACUGACGUUGAGGCUCGAAAGCGUGGGGAGCAAACAGGAUUAGAUACCCCUGUAGUC